rnacentral:rRNA from 1 species
CCCAAGAGAUCGGGAUAACACCUGGAAACAGAUGCUAAUACCGGAUAAUAACAGAUGAUGCCUAUCAACUGUUUAAAAGAUGGUUCUGCUAUCACUCUUGGAUGGACCUGCGGUGCAUUAGCUAGUUGGUAGGGUAACGGCCUGCCAAGGCGAUGAUGCAUAGCCGAGUUGAGAGACUGAUCGGCCACAUUGGGACUGAGACACGGCCCAAACUCCUACGGGAGGCAGCAGCA